GGCCCCUUAGCUCAGUGGUAGAGCGAUUGCCUCAUAAGCGAUUGGUCGCUGGUUCGAAACCAGUAGGGGUCACCA
rnacentral:tRNA from 1 species